CAGAAUUUAAACCAACGAGCACAUCCUAAACUUUGCCGCGCAGCGAAUAGAACAAGGGUGCUGUUUUUUGCCCUGGACAUUCCCCUGUUCCUGCCUCUCUCCAGCAAGGACUCCCCCCUUGGCUACUCCCUCUCCCCAUGACCCUUUGUUCGUUCCGACCGGUACUUUCAAAAAGCGCGAGCCUUCAGUCUCCCCUUAAUUCAGGACACCUGCUUGACCUAAGUUCCGGCAAAACUACAAGGCUGCCGUGUCCACAUCCCCGCCCGCGGUUUCUGCCACUCCGAAGCCACGAAAUGGACCAGCAGAGACUCCUUCGGUCAGUUUCACUCUGGAUUAGGGCCGCGUGGUUCGCACAUUCACGUGCACGAUUGGGUCUCUGUAUGGGCCGAUGGCUUAAUACAGAGCGGCGGGAGUAAUCGCGCUCACCAGAGGGGCGCCAGAUCAGUCGCAGAAUCAAAACUUUUUCCGCAAAUGAAAGUGCGGCGAAUCAUCGCGGGAAAGCCCAUCUGUUACUGGCCUUGAAAAUGUCCAUCAUCCGGGAAGCCCCACCCACAUCUGACAGCAUUUCAUUGGAUGCGCCGGCAGAUCUCUGCAACAGCGAGGAGGAGCUUUACGGAAAGAGGUCUCCUGGCAGCGCUCAGAUCGCGGAGUCCAUAAAUCAUUUGCUGGUUUUACGGCCAUUUCUGUUGUGGCAUUUAGAUGGAGUAACCUGCUGGCUGCAUGGUUAUGCCAAUAACUCUUUCCUGAGAUGAGACCUCACCGUGGGACGCCGCGAGAAGUGUUUCCAAGAGCAACCAAGGCAGAACGCAAAACUACACAAAACUCAUCAUGCAAAGCAAAAAACAUAAUUCAACGCAAGGCAUUUUCAGAGUUCAAAUGAGUUUGAUUUACAACCAUGAAAACAUAUGAUUUUAUUACAUUUGAGUCUGGAGACCUCAUUUUAUCUGACCAGAAGCACAAACUUGUUGA